rnacentral:rRNA from 1 species
GACGAACGCUGGCGGCGUGCUUAACACAUGCAAGUCGAACGGAAAGGCCCUGCUUUUGUGGGGUGCUCGAGUGGCGAACGGGUGAGUAACACGUGAGUAACCUGCCCUUGACUUUGGGAUAACUUCAGGAAACUGGGGCUAAUACCGGAUAGGAGCUCCUGCUGCAUGGUGGGGGUUGGAAAGUUUCGGCGGUUGGGGAUGGACUCGCGGCUUAUCAGCUUGUUGGUGGGGUAGUGGCUUACCAAGGCUUUGACGGGUAGCCGGCCGGAGAGGGUGACCGGCCACAUUGGGACUGAGAUACGGCCCAGACUCCUACGGGAGGCAGCAGUGGGGAAUAUUGCACAAUGGGCGGAAGCCUGAUGCAGCAACGCCGCGUGCGGGAUGACGGCCUUCGGGUUGUAAACCGCUUUCGCCUGUGACGAAGCGUGAGUGACGGUAAUGGGUAAAGAAGCACCGGCUAACUACGUGCCAGCAGCCGCGGUGAUACGUAGGGUGCGAGCGUUGUCCGGAUUUAUUGGGCGUAAAGGGCUCGUAGGUGGUUGAUCGCGUCGGAAGUGUAAUCUUGGGGCUUAACCCUGAGCGUGCUUUCGAUACGGGUUGACUUGAGGAAGGUAGGGGAGAAUGGAAUCCCUGGUGGAGCGGUGGAAUGCGCAGAUAUCAGGAGGAACACCAGUGGCGAAGGCGGUUCUCUGGGCCUUUCCUGACGCUGAGGAGCGAAAGCGUGGGGAGCGAACAGGCUUAGAUACCCUGGUAGUCCACGCUGUAAACGGUGGGUACUAGGUGUGGGGUCCAUUCCACGGGUUCCGUGCCGUAGCUAACGCUUUAAGUACCCCGCCUGGGGAGUACGGCCGCAAGGCUAAAACUCAAAGGAAUUGACGGGGCCCCGCACAAGCGGCGGAGCAUGCGGAUUAAUUCGAUGCAACGCGUAGAACCUUACCUGGGUUUGACAUGGAUCGGGAGUGCUCAGAGAUGGGUGUGCCUCUUUUGGGGUCGGUUCACAGGUGGUGCAUGGCUGUCGUCAGCUCGUGUCGUGAGAUGUUGGGUUAAGUCCCGCAACGAGCGCAACCCUUGUUCACUGUUGCCAGCACGUUAUGGUGGGGACUCAGUGGAGACCGCCGGGGUCAACUCGGAGGAAGGUGGGGAUGACGUCAAGUCAUCAUGCCCCUUAUGUCCAGGGCUUCACGCAUGCUACAAUGGCUGGUACAGAGAGUGGCGAGCCUGUGAGGGUGAGCGAAUCUCGGAAAGCCGGUCUCAGUUCGGAUUGGGGUCUGCAACUCGACCUCAUGAAGUCGGAGUCGCUAGUAAUCGCAGAUCAGCAACGCUGCGGUGAAUACGUUCCCGGGGCU